UGUCUGCAGAAAUCUAAAAGCCACCCAGGCCACCAACUUAAUUAUAUCCAGGAUGCGCACCAGAGGUGAAAAGCCUCCUAGAACUGUUUUUCAAUCAUCAUCUCUCCAACUGAGCUGGACUAGUGACACUAAAACCAGCAAUUAAAAGCCUCAAUUCAAAUGCAUCCUGUUAAAGAGCCAUGGGUGAUUAGAUCAUAAAUCUGCAUGACCUUGAAGAUGAUGAAGGAAAUUACAGCCUAAUCCAAGCAUGAUGACUUUCCAUUAAUCUGUGAUGGGGUUUUAUUUCUUUAUUAUGAGCUAAAUGUGUAAACGCAUAAGAAUUAGCAAAGCCAUUUUGGCACGAUUUAAUUCUCAGGGCUCCCUCUGCUGGUAGUGAAAGAUGACAAAUUUACAGAGAGCUUAAGAAUGAGGGCAAUACAAUUAUUACCACAAUUUUGCCAUUUAUAUUAGAUCUAAAU
rnacentral:lncRNA from 1 species